rnacentral:rRNA from 1 species
UACGUAGGGGGCUAGCGUUGUCCGGAAUCAUUGGGCGUAAAGAGCGUGUAGGCGGUCCGGUAAGUCCGCUGUGAAGUCGGGGGCUCAACCCUCGAAUGCCGGUGGAUACUGUCAGGCUAGAGCACGGUAGAGGCAGAUGGAAUUCCCGGUGUAGCGGUGGAAUGCGUAGAGAUCGGGAAGAACAUCAGUGGCGAAGGCGGUCUGCUGGGCCGUUGCUGACGCUGAGGCGCGACAGCGUGGGGAGCAAACAGG